AGCGAACGCUGGCGGCAGGCUUAACACAUGCAAGUCGAGCGGGCAUAGCAAUAUGUCAGCGGCAGACGGGUGAGUAACGCGUGGGAACGUACCUUUUGGUCCGGAACAACACAGGGAAACUUGUGCUAAUACCGGAUAAGCCCUUACGGGGAAGGAUUUAUCGUCGAAAGAUCGGCCCGCGUCUGAUUAGCUAGUUGGUGAGGUAAUGGCUCACCAAGGCGACGAUAAGUAGCUGGUCUGAGAGGAUGAUCAGCCACAUUGGGACGGAGACACGGCCCAAACUCCUACGGGAGGCAGCAGUGGGGAAUAUUGGACAAUGGGCGCAAGCCUGAUCCAGCCAUGCCGCGUGAGUGAUGAAGGCCCUAGGGUUGUAAAGCUCUUUUGUGCGGGAAGAUAAUGACGGUACCGCAAGAAUAAGCCCCGGCUAACUUCGUGCCAGCAGCCGCCGUAA
rnacentral:rRNA from 1 species